ensembl:lncRNA
CUCAAAGGCCACAAGCAAUCUUUUUGGAAAAAUAGCUUUAACCUUGACAGAGCAGAAAGACAAAUGGAAAUGGAUAUAUGGGUGAUUUAACCUUGCCAUACUAAGUGAGCAGCGCAGUGGGAUGGGGAAAUGGAAAAAUGGAAAUUACAGCCGUCAAUGCAGUAAUUGCUCUGUACAUGUGUGUCACAUGCUAUAUGAGUGUGUAACAGCAUAAAGGCCAGUCCUAAAGCGAUUAGGGAGAUUCCGGCCCCGCUGUGGUACCGCAGGGUCAGUUUUAUCAACAAGGCCAGAGAUGGCAGACAAAUCCCCCUCUCUGUGCUCAUGGGAUUGGGCCGUCCUGUCACCCAGCUGCCCUUCAGG